rnacentral:tRNA from 1 species
GGGCGAUUAGCUCAGGGGCUAGAGCGCUACCUUGACACGGUAGAGGCCACUGGUUCGAUUCCAGUAUCGCCCACCC